UUGUAGAUCGAAAUAACGCAAUCCAUCGAUGAGCCCGCGCGGUGUCGGUCCGCGAGGCGUGAACACCCUCUCACUCUCUCUCACUCUUGGUCGCCAGAGCAGGGAGGAGAGAGAAGAGUAGCGCCGGCUCAGAAUAGACAAAAAACACAGUGCUCGAUUGUCAAUGGGUGUGGGGGUACUUGCGAAUCACCGCCCCUCAUCGCGUUUCGCAUGGACCUCGCACCCCACGGCCCGAGCCCAAAGCUAAAUUUAGCGUCGCGGACAUGGCGACGAGAGUGUGAUUCAUGUUGAUAUCACUACGCAUGUCUUUGCCUUCGUGAUGCGUGAUCAGCGAGAGUCUAGUAGGUAGUGUUUUUUAUUUUUAUUAUUGAGACUGGCUGUCUGUCUGUCAUGGGACCAUGCAUCGCGCAAGCUCAUGCUACCAGACAUCGCGCGAGGAGGGUGCUUGGUAUGUUGUUGCAACGAUGGGUUCGGUGCUGGGGAUCUAGCUCAUCCCGGUGUCAAUCAGUUACUGUGGUUCAACCGCAUAGCCCCCCGUCGAGAUUAGUUUUUUUUUGAUUUUGGUUUCGGAACUGGACCAGGCAUGCAGUUGUGGACACCGAUUCCUUGAUUAUAUUUGGGGUGAAAAUCUGUUCUGAAGUUUUGGGUUCUGGUCUUAAUUGAUGCAACUUUCGUGGCUGGUUCUCCUGGUGGCUGAUGAUUCAUCCCCUUCACUUAGAGUUGUCUCAUGUGACUGAAUCCUCUCAGGUUGGUGUCCCCGUCCGGAGAUCGAGUUGCUUGGCGCAGGGGCGGCGUGGUGAACUUGUACUGGCGUUCGACUACUCUGUGGGGACUUAAACGGAUACUGUCACCGAUGAUGGCAACCUUGACUGGCUCCUGCGUCUUCCGAUUGUGCUCUUGGUAGUUGGGCAGCUUCAGAGGCAACGGUUCUGCUGAGAAAUCCGGUGGGCUUAGCGUCUCUUGGAGGCACUCGUUGCUAGAGUUGCUUUCAGUUCUUCGCUUUUGUUGACUUGUAGGAAGCAUCCUUUGGCUUCAACCCUCGGCUGAUGGCGAUGAGUAAAUCGUAGACUGUUCUUCAACCCAAAACUCACUCCACUGCACCUACCUUUGUUACCGGUAUCUGAAGCGACCUUUCUAGUUCUUAAGUGUAUCGAAACUGAAUCUGAUAAGGAGAGGAUUUUGUUGUCGAGGGUAAGGGAACUCCGUCAGAGAGGUUUUUUAGAAUGUGAGCCGACCAAUUGGUUACUCUUUGGAAAUGGACUGAACGUGAAUCGAUUUGACUCGUGCAAGGCAGGCCAUUAUUCAUCAUUGAGCUAGAUUCAGGUGCUGCAGCCUCCGGUUUUAUAAAAUCACGUCUCAAGAGGAGAAGGUGGCGCAGUCAACGAUGAACACACCAAGAGUGAAGAUGAACCAGAGGAGCCAGAAGUGCUAUCCUCUCGAGUCUGUGCCAGAACACUGUGUGCGUGCAUUCUCUGAAACAUCGCGCUCAAAACCUCAAUAUGCAAAGAAACGGAGGAUCAAGGACUUUCUGGUACGAAUUAGGGACAAAUACGUGAACAUGAUGAAUAACAUAGCUUGCAGCGCAGAUUUGACAGGUUUCUCAACCGGGUAUGCGUGUUCAACGGGUCCAAUGGACCUCCUCUCUGUCUCAGUCAUGACUAACAUGAAGAACAAGGAGAAAGAGGAAAUGUUAGAAGCUAUUAGGUUUCUGGAGGCUACAUCUCGAGGAUAAGACCAGAGAAUCUCAAACGCAGACUGUUGGCUGCAAUCUUGUUACUACGAUUCAUCAAUAGUUGUGCUCAUGGAAGCUUCUUAGCUGAGUCAAGCACCAGAUACACUGUACAAGUCGCUCGGAUUUGGCGUGAAAGUCGCACAAAUCUAUGUAUAGGUACUAUUGGACUAAGCGAUCAUUUUGUAGAAUGAUUUAUUAUUUAUUCAGGUUUAAGGAGAACUUGAUUGCUUUGAUCGCUGUAUUCGCGUCUUGUGGAGAAUCUGAAUUGAACAGGGGAACGGAAAGUUUCCUGUAUCAAAGCAGAAUGUGUAAAUGAGCGUGGCUGGAAAAGAGAACAAGAAAAAAAUGGCGCACUUACAAAUUUUCUUU